UAAGACAUGCAAGUCGAGCGGAGCGUGGGACUUCGGUUUCACGCUUAGCGGCGGACGGGUGAGUAACACGUGGAUAACCUGCCCUCUGCUCUGGGAUAACAGGCCGAAAGGCCUGCUAAUACCGGAUAAGCUCACGGCCCCGCAUGGGGCAGGGAGAAAAGGCGCUGGAGUCAGUGGCGCUGGCAGAGGAGGGGUCCGCGGCCCAUUAGCUAGUUGGCGGGGUAACGGCCCACCAAGGCGACGAUGGGUAGCCGGCCUGAGAGGGCGACCGGCCACACGGGGACUGAGACACGGCCCAGACUCCUACGGGAGGCAGCAGUCGGGAAUUUUGCACAAUGGCCGAAAGGCUGAUGCAGCAACGCCGCGUGAGCGAAGAAGGCCUUCGGGUUGUAAAGCUCUGUUGCCUGCGAAGAAGGGCCCUGUCAGGAAAUGGGCAGGGUUUGACGGUAGCAGGCGAGGAAGCCCCGGCAAACUACGUGCCAGCAGCCGCGGUAAUACGUAGGGGGCGAGCGUUGUCCGGAAUUACUGGGCGUAAAGGGCGUGUAGGCGGCCUGUUAAGUCAGGGGUGAAAGACCGGGGCUCAACCCCGGGGGUGCCUCUGAAACUGGCGGGCUUGAGUGCUCUAGAGGGCAGUGGAAUUCCCGGUGUAGCAGUGAAAUGCGUAGAGAUCGGGAGGAACACCAGUGGCGAAGGCGGCUGCCUGGGGAGUCACUGACGCUGAGGCGCGAAAGCUAGGGGAGCAAACAGGAUUAGAUACCCUGGUAGUCCUAGCCGUAAACGAUGAGCGCUAUGUGUGAGGGGUAUCGACCCCCCUCGUGCAGUAGCUAACGCAUUAAGCGCUCCGCCUGGGGAGUACGGCCGCAAGGUUGAAACUCAAAGGAAUUGACGGGGGCCCGCACAAGCAGCGGAGCAUGUGGUUUAAUUCGAAGCAACGCGUAGAACCUUACCAGGGCUUGACAUCCACCGAACCCUGCAGAAAUGCGGGGGUGCCUCUCCGCAGGAGAGGAGCGGUGAGACAGGUGGUGCAUGGUUGUCGUCAGCUCGUGUCGUGAGAUGUUGGGUUAAGUCCCGCAACGAGCGCAACCCCUGUCGCAUGUUGCCAGCGGGUAAAGCCGGGCACUCAUGCGAGACUGCCGGUGACAAACCGGAGGAAGGUGGGGAUGACGUCAAAUCAUCAUGCCCCUUAUGUCCUGGGCUACACACGUGCUACAAUGGCCGUCACAGAGCGAACCGAACCCGUGAGGGGGAGGCAAUCGCGAAAGGCGGUCCCAGUUCGGAUCGCAGGCUGCAACUCGCCUGCGUGAAGUCGGAGUUGCUAGUAAUCGCGGAUCAGCAUGCCGCGGUGAAUACGUUCCCGGGCCUUGUACACACCGCCCGUCACACCAUGGGAGCUGGCAACACCCGAAGUCGGUGAGCUAACCCGCAAGGGAGGCAGCCGCCGAAGGUGGGGCCGGUGACUUGGGGGUGAAGUCGUAACAAGGUAGCCGUAUCGGAAGG
rnacentral:rRNA from 1 species